GCCAGCAUGGUGUAGUGAUUUUCACAUUGGACUAUGACUCUGGAGAUCAGGGUUCAAUUCUCAUUGUUUAUG